rnacentral:rRNA from 1 species
AAGUGGAGCAAUCCAUGAGUAAAGUGGCGACCGGGUGAGUAACACGUGACUAACCUACCCUAGAGUGGGGAAUAACCUCGGGAAACCGGGGCUAAUACCGCAUAACAUCGCGAGGGGAAGAUCCUUGCGAUCAAAGGAGCAAUUCGCUCAAGGAGGGGGUCGCGGCUGAUUAGCUAGUUGGUGAGGUAACGGCCCACCAAGGCUAAGAUCAGUAUCCGGCCUGAGAGGGCGCACGGACACACUGGAACUGAAACACGGUCCAGACUCCUACGGGAGGCAGCAGUGGGGAAUUUUGCGCAAUGGGGGAAACCCUGACGCAGCAACGCCGCGUGGAGGAUGAAGUCCCUUGGG